rnacentral:misc_RNA from 1 species
CAGUGUCUCUUAUUUUCUUAAUCUUAAAUUUAAACAAUUUUUAACCUAAUCUUAUUUCAACAUAAUCUAUCUACAUUGCUCUUAUACUAAUUAAUACUAUGUAUGCCGUACUUAAAGUACAUCUAAUUCCUUCGCUUGUCAUUUCCAAGGUUUGAGACGAUCGGACGAAAGAAUUGUGUUAAAUGGACGCGUUGUCAAGUUAAAACCAGUGAUGUCUCCCCUUCGAAACGAUUCAUGGAGUCAUUAGCCAUUAGACAGCUCGAUUCAUAGUCUGGCUGAAGAAAGCUAUUGCCGCCCAAUUAUUAUUCUGCUUCUGUAGCAGUAUAGCUCCAAGGUCCAGAUGAUUGGCAUCUGUAUGUAGCUCAGUCUCUGCUGCUGGAUUAUACAAGCACAACAUGGGAAAUGAGAUACUUCAAGACUCGUUCAAGACAGCUAGAUUCUGGUCUACGGUUUCCGACGGUAUAAGAAUAUCAUCUAUAUAAACGAUAACCUUGUUUUGCCGUAUGAGCGAAUCCAAUAUUUGCAAAAGACGCUUCUGGAAUUCCGCAGGAGCUUCUGAAUACCCGAAUGGUACGAUCCUUGCGCAAUAUGGUGAGAUACUCUACUGGAUGAUCCCUCGAUUCAAAAGGAUGAGGAUAUCGUCUAUGUAUACUAUUACUUUUUCUUCGCGGAUAAGCGGGUCGAGAAUUUGCAACAGUAUUUUUUGAAAUUCCGCCGGUGCCUCUGAAUAUACUCGGUAUGACACGUGCACAGUACGGCGAGAUGCUUGGCUGUAUUAUUUUACGCUUCAACAAAUCAUCAAUAAUCUCGCGAAUCUGCAGACGCUCCACGUAUGCGAAACGUCGAGGGGCGAAUGUAUAGACGGAUGGUCUUUGAAGUGUACGCGGACGGAAUACUCUCAUCUAUUGGUAUGAUCUCACUUGUUAAAUCCUUCACAUAAAGAGGGAGAUUGGCAAAAAGGCGCACUUCCGCGACCGGAUUGAUAACUGCUCUGCCGUGUAACUUAUAAAUCAGGAUGGAAGUUACUUGUAUGUGAGGAAUGGCUCCAACCGGUUGCUGGCGUCUGUUACCACAGGGCCACAGCAUUCGUCUUCGUGUCCUGGAAUAGCUGCUGCUGCCUGGACCGUUGUUGCUGGCCAGCACCGCUAACGCCUCUCCUUUGUCGGGCAGCUGGACAGUCAUACUGCCGGUGUCUUUUGUUCUUACAGAAAAAGCAGAUAAUUUCUCCACGACAGAUUUUGUGCGAGUGCCCAGCUUUAUCGUAGUUGCGGCAUGAUGUCUCUUUAGACUUUGGCCCGCUCGCUGGCACAAAUACGCCAGGUCCGAAAACCCUUCCGUGAUGCCCUUGCGCAUUUUUUCAAGGAAAGUGUCUAGCGAGGUAUCAGCCAUGGACAGCGUGGUGACUCUCAGGGCUUUGUUGUUCACGCCGCUGAUCAAGAGGUGGAUUACAUCUUUGGUAGAUAAGUCCAAUGGUUGUAACAAUUUUGUUAUCACGUAUUGAUCGCUAAUUUUGUUAUCACGUAUUGAUCGAAUGUUUCACGAUGCGGUAACUACUUUCUUGCCUCGAUCUUUUGCAUGACUUUGUAGAAGGGGACCUGUCUGCUGAAUACCUUCCUGAGUUCCGGUUUCAAACCGUACCAGGAUUCUAUCAUUGCUCCGCUCUGAAAAUCGUACCACUGCCUCGCAAAUUUGACAACUUGCUCGAGAGCCUCCAAACUCAGGGAUUUGAGAAGUCAACUAAGUGACCGAGCUCCCCCUAGUGAAACCCUCGGCCAAGAGUAUUUCCUGAAAUACCUGAGCCGGUGAGGAGGCUGCCUGUGAGCCGCCUGGCUCAGAUCUUGGAUCUUCCCGUUCUCCGACUACAUCAGGAGUAAUGUCUCCGCUACUUGCGAUAACGUAUGGUAGAGCACCGCCGUUGUCACGGGCUGCUCCAGAGGCGUCACCGCCGACGAACCACCGGUUUCUUCUCGAGCGAUUUCUGAUGGGCCAUGCUUAGCUACAUGAGCCAGGAUUGCUUCAACGAGGACCACUCUGUCAUCCGACACAGGGAAAUGAAAACGUCGAGCUUCCUUCUGUAGCUGCUCCAGGACUGCUCGGUCCAUCGCCCUCGUCUUCAUCAUCUACGGCCAUCUUCCCUCUCUCAACUCCACGCGACACAAUGGGCGCAUAAGUGGAAAUCUUACUUCUGAUAUUAAAUGCUGUAAGAUGUUAUUUUUUAAAUGUUCAAAUUUUUAAAAUAAAUGGAUCGAAAUCAGGA